rnacentral:tRNA from 1 species
GCCCAAAUAGCUCAGUUGGGAGAGUGCUAGACUAUAGAUCGAAAGGUCCCUGGUUCGAUUCCGGGAUUCGGCG